CAGCCGCCACGGGAAUACGUAGGGUGCGAGCGUUAAUCGGAAUUACUGGGCGUAAAGCGUGCGCAGGCGGUUGUGUAAGACAGGUGUGAAAUCCCCGGGCUUAACCUGGGGACUGCGCUUGUGACUGCACAGCUAGAGUAUGGCAGAGGGGGGUAGAAUUCCACGUGUAGCAGUGAAAUGCGUAGAGAUGUGGAGGAAUACCGGUGGCGAAGGCAGCCCCCUGGGCCAAUACUGACGCUCGUGCACGAAAGCGUGGGGAGCAAACAGGAUUAGAUACCCCUGUAGUCCCUGUCUCUUAUAC
rnacentral:rRNA from 1 species